AUCAAUCUUUAUUUUUUUUAUUUUAUUUUUAAGUUUAUUAGUGCAGUUUAUAAAGUACAGUUUGUGUGAUUUGGUGUGUUAUUAGUCCAAACCAUGGUCAACAUAGCAGAUAAAUUGUCUCAUUAAAUACCUCAGGGUUCAGGAGGUUUGUUCUGGCUCUGGAUCCUCGAUAGGAAUGGUGCGGGUUUAAGAAGAGCAGAGCAGUUAAACUCUAGUCUCCUCUCAAUCUCUCCAUCAUAGUCUCUAAACAGCAGCUAAACACGUCGUUAAGCUUCUUCUUUAACCCAGCUAAAAUACGAUGCUGGACCUCACACUCACAGCUGAGAUACUCCUGCUCCGUCACUGUGCAGUUUACUGUGCACAGCUGUACACUGAGUGAAACUCCAGAGGACACACAGACUGAUUCCUCCUCCAUGGAAAAAGUGGGCCGGAUUUGGGCACGAAACUCCCGGGCUGAAAAAAGGGCCCACUCCGGCCCUGUAUGGAACAGACACGUGACGCCUCUGACCAAUCGCACGAGGACAGCGGCCAAUCCGAGACUCCUACAGCUCCUCACAGGUGCACAUCUUGUGUGCACGAAAGCCCACCAAGCAUUCAUCAACUUGUGUGCCCUCUGCCUCUGCUGCCUUAUGGCCUCAGCAAGAUCAAAGUGGAAGCUGGUGUACUUGAGGAGAACAUCCUUAUUGCUUAUAAGGGCAGUCUCGCCUGACUUCCGUUCCCUCUGAUGCUCAGCGAGGACCAUGAAAGCGUAGCCCAUGUUGUUCUCCAGAAGCCAUUUGAAACUCUUCCUUCAGUAUUGGACAAAACUGUAUAGCUACCAACUGGUUGUCCUGAGGUGACCCUAUGCAUGCCAAGUGCUUCCUUUCUGCUGCCUGUGCUGCAGGUGAAGCUCGCGUUCUCCUCAAAACGGAAUGCUGGCUUUGCAUCCAUGCUUUGAAUCCUUUAAAAAUACAAAUACAGGUAUCUUAUCAGGGAUGAACAGUAUGGUAAAUAUACAUAAUUGUAUUAUCUGAAACAUCCAUAUUACAAAAACUUCUACGGAUAUAUUUAAUAUUUUCUAUAUUUAUUUAGUAAAUACAACUCACCUAUAAUGCCACAUUUCAAAAACUCACAGUUAAAUUUACUGUUAUAUGUCUCAAUAUUUAGUUCGAAUUUGAUACUAAAUGCCACAAUAAAUACAUCUUUUAACUAAUACA
rnacentral:lncRNA from 1 species